rnacentral:lncRNA from 1 species
GAGUAGCUGGGGUUACAGGCGCCCGCUACCACACCCGGCUAAUUUUUGUAUUUUUAGUAGAGACGAGGUUUCACCAUGUUGGUCAGGCUGGUCUGAAACUCCUGAAGAGAUCCGCCCACCUCGGCCUCUCAAAGUGCUGGGAUUACAGGCGUGAGCUACCGCGCCCGGCCCGAGACCCCUUUCUUGUCUCUGCAUAGCGCCCACCCCUGGCCUAGAGCCUCUUCAGCUUUCCAUCACUAAGCUAAGCUCUCACCUCUACUUUAGCCUCUUCCUUACUUAGACUUGUGUUAUGGGCUUCCUCCACUCUGAUUAACCCAUCCACAUGCUCCGAUCUUCUCAUCUUCCUGAAGUCAUUUGAUACCUCUCAUCUAAUGGUUCAGCCUUCACUGGAAAUGCACAAUUUUGAGGAAGAGUUAACUUGUCCCAUAUGUUAUAGUAUUUUUGAAGAUCCUCGUGUACUGCCAUGCUCUCAUACAUUUUGUAGAAAUUGUUUGGAAAACAUUCUUCAGGCAUCUGGUAACUUUUAUAUAUGGAGACCUUUACGAAUUCCACUCAAGUGCCCUAAUUGCAGAAGUAUUACUGAAAUUGCUCCAACUGGCAUUGAAUCUUUACCUGUUAAUUUUGCACUAAGGGCUAUUAUUGAAAAGUACCAGCAAGAAGACCAUCCAGAUAUUGUCACCUGCCCUGAACAUUACAGGCAACCAUUAAAUGUUUACUGUCUAUUAGAUAAAAAAUUAGUUUGUGGUCAUUGCCUUACCAUAGGUCAACAUCAUGGUCAUCCUAUAGAUGACCUUCAAAGUGCCUAUUUGAAAGAAAAGGACACUCCUCAAAAACUGCUUGAACAGUUGACUGACACACACUGGACAGAUCUUACCCAUCUUAUUGAAAAGCUGAAAGAACAAAAAUCUCAUUCUGAGAAAAUGAUCCAAGGCGAUAAGGAAGCUGUUCUCCAGUAUUUUAAGGAGCUUAAUGAUACAUUAGAACAGAAAAAAAAAAGUUUCCUAACGGCUCUCUGUGAUGUUGGCAAUCUAAUUAAUCAAGAAUAUACUCCACAAAUUGAAAGAAUGAAGGAAAUACGAGAGCAGCAGCUUGAAUUAAUGGCACUGACAAUAUCUUUACAAGAAGAGUCUCCACUUAAAUUUCUUGAAAAAGUUGAUGAUGUACGCCAGCAUGUACAGAUCUUGAAACAAAGACCACUUCCUGAGGUUCAACCCGUUGAAAUUUAUCCUCGAGUAAGCAAAAUAUUGAAAGAAGAAUGGAGCAGAACAGAAAUUGGACAAAUUAAGAACGUUCUCAUUCCCAAAAUGAAAAUUUCUCCAAAAAGGAUGUCAUGUUCCUGGCCUGUAAAUACAAUCAAGUGGCAUCUUAAAUUUUUGCUGGAAGUGGAGUCAUGAGACUAAAGAUAUCUCUUUUAAAAGAACCAAAGCAUAUCCUUUUAAUGCUUAUAAAUCUUAUUGGAUUUUCUUAAUUAUAGUAUUGUUAAAAGUUUCUCUAUUUUAUAUCCUAGUUGAAGAAUAGAUUUUUUUUUUCAUUCCUUUAGUGGCUGUUUACCUAAAUUGUUUUAAAGUAUUUAAGAUCAUGUGUUGUAAGUAAUUCUCCAAAGUGAACCGUUUGCUAUAAAUCUUAUUUUAAAAUUCUUACUGACGUUUUUCUUACUCUACUUAAGUACUAUACUUAAAUACUUAAAAAGCAGUUUUUGUUUACUUUAGUAGGAUCUUAAAAAGAAGCUUUUUUUUUUUUUUUUUGAGACAGAGUCUCACUCUGUCACCCAGGCUGGAGUACAGUGGUGUGAUCUCAACUCACUGCAACCCUCUACCUCCUGGGUUCAAGUGAUUCUCCUGCCUCAGCCUCCUGAGCAGCUCAGAUUAUAGGCACCCGCCAACAUGCCCGGCUAAUUUUUGUAUUUUUAGUAGAGACGGGGUUUCACCAUGUUGGCCAGGCUGGUCUCGAACUCUCGACCUCAGGUGAUCCACCCGCCCCAGCCUCCCAAAGUGCUGGGAUUACAGGCAUGAGCCACCGCGCCUGGCCAAAAUGAAGCAUUUUUUAAACCAAACUGUUUCUUUGCUAGUGUGAUCUAGCAUGUAUUCAUUCCACUGUGCUCUAUUUCUUUACAUUCAUGAUAAAGUGAAGGACAAGUUGGGGAAAUCUGAGCAGUCAGAUCCUCAUUAUUUCACAUGGGAAGGUGGCAAUUAAUAAUAUUUUCUCAAACACAUGACCCUAUAUUUUGUCAGCAAGAGUCCCCAGUUAUGUGUCAAGGAGAUAUGACAGGCCCCACUAUCAUCAUUCUUAGACAUUUAGACUAAUUCUGCUCAAAGUAUCCUUUGUAGACUUUAUUGCAGGUCUGUGAAAGAAUAGGUAAAUAAAUUGAAAGUAAGGGCUGAGAAAUUUUUGUAGCAAUUUGACAUUGUUAUAAUGUCCAAUUUUUCUAAUAUUUUAUUUUUAUUGUAUCUUACGAAAUAUCCAUAUGCAAUGGAUUCGAAAUAAAGAAAAAUCUGGUCCUUCAUCAGAACUAGGAAAGCACUGAUUUAAACAUUUGGUCAGACAUUUUAAAUUGAAUUAGUAAGCUGUGUGGGCUGGACUACUGCUGAAGAGCUGUAUUCAUGUAGUGAUGAUCACCAGAUAGUGAAGUGGAACUUGUUAACCAGUGAAACAACUCAAAUAGUAAAGCUUCCUGAUGAUAUUUACCCUAUUGAUUUUCACUGGUUUCCAAAAAGUUUGGGUGUAAAGAAACAAACCCAGGCAGAAAGCUUUGUCCUCACAAGUUCUGAUGGUAAAUUUCAUCUGAUUUCCAAGUUAGGAAGAGUGGAAAAAAGUGUAGAAGCUCACUGUGGAGCAGUACUUGCAGGAAGAUGGAAUUAUGAAGGAACAGCAUUAGUUACAGUUGGAGAAGAUGGACAAAUAAAAAUUUGGUCAAAGACUGGGAUGCUUAGAUCAACUUUAGCUCAGCAAGGAACACCAGUGUAUUCAGUAGCGUGGGGCCCUGAUUCAGAAAAGGUUCUUUAUACAGCAGGCAAGCAGCUAAUCAUUAAACCUCUUCAACCAAAUGCUAAAGUUUUGCAGUGGAAAGCUCAUGAUGGCAUUAUUUUAAAAGUAGAUUGGAACUCGGUCAAUGAUCUUAUUUUAUCUGCUGGUGAAGACUGUAAAUAUAAGGUAUGGGAUAGUUACGGCCGCCCACUGUACAAUUCACAACCUCAUGAGCAUCCCAUUACUUCAGUUGCCUGGGCUCCAGAUGGAGAAUUAUUUGCUGUUGGAUCGUUUCAUACUUUACGCUUGUGUGAUAAAACUGGGUGGUCAUAUGCAUUAGAAAAACCCAACACUGGCAGCAUAUUUAAUAUUGCAUGGUCUAUCGAUGGCACUCAGAUUGCUGGAGCCUGUGGAAAUGGACAUGUCGUUUUUGCACAUGUGGUGGAACAACAUUGGGAGUGGAAAAAUUUUCAAGUAACAUUAACGAAAAGAAGAGCCAUGCAGGUUCGUAAUGUUCUUAAUGAUGCAGUGGAUUUACUGGAAUUCCGUGAUAGAGUCAUUAAAGCAUCUUUGAACUAUGCACACUUAGUUGUUUCAACGUCUCUUCAAUGUUACGUGUUCUCCACGAAGAACUGGAACACACCAAUUAUAUUUGAUCUCAAAGAAGGAACUGUUAGUUUGAUUCUGCAGGCAGAAAGACAUUUUCUUCUUGUAGAUGGUAGUAGUAUCUAUUUAUAUUCAUAUGAAGGGCGCUUUAUUUCAUCUCCAAAAUUUCCUGGAAUGAGAACAGAUAUUCUGAAUGCACAGACUGUGUCUUUGAGUAAUGAUACCAUAGCAAUAAGAGACAAAGCUGAUGAAAAAAUAAUCUUCCUCUUUGAGGCAUCAACCGGAAAGCCGUUAGGUGAUGGAAAGUUUCUUUCUCAUAAGAAUGAAAUCUUGGAAAUUGCUCUGGAUCAAAAAGGACUUACCAAUGAUAGAAAAAUUGCUUUCAUUGAUAAAAAUAGAGAUCUCUGUAUCACUUCUGUGAAACGAUUUGGGAAGGAAGAACAAAUUAUCAAGCUUGGAACAAUGGUGCAUACUUUGGCAUGGAACGAUACAUGCAAUAUCCUUUGUGGACUUCAAGAUACUCGAUUUAUAGUGUGGUAUUACCCCAAUACAGUUUAUGUGGACAGAGACAUUUUGCCUAAAACAUUAUAUGAAAGGGAUGCAAGUGAAUUUAGUAAAAAUCCCCAUAUUGUGAGUUUUGUUGGAAAUCAAGUAACUAUUAGAAGAGCUGAUGGCUCCCUGGUUCACAUCAGCAUAACACCAUAUCCUGCUAUUCUCCAUGAAUAUGUAAGCAGUUCAAAAUGGGAAGAUGCUGUGAGACUUUGUCGCUUUGUUAAGGAGCAAACCAUGUGGGCUUGUCUAGCUGCUAUGGCAGUUGCUAAUCGAGAUAUGACUACUGCAGAAAUAGCCUAUGCAGCAAUUGGUGAAAUUGAUAAGGUUCAGUACAUCAAUUCUAUAAAAAAUCUUCCAUCUAAAGAAUCAAAAAUGGCCCACAUACUACUGUUUAGUGGGAACAUACAGGAGGCUGAAAUAGUACUUCUUCAGGCUGGCCUUGUUUAUCAAGCAAUCCAGAUCAAUAUUAAUCUCUACAACUGGGAAAGGGCACUGGAAUUGGCUGUAAAAUACAAAACACAUGUUGAUACAGUUCUUGCUUACCGUCAAAAGUUUUUGGAGACAUUUGGUAAACAGGAAACUAAUAAACGAUACUUGCAUUAUGCAGAAGGUCUCCAAAUAGAUUGGGAGAAAAUCAAAGCCAAAAUUGAGAUGGAAAUUACAAAAGAAAGAGAGCAAUCAUCAAGCAGCCAAUCCAGCAAGAGUAUAGGUUUAAAGCCCUAAAUGCCAUGCGUAUCUUUAAGAAAUUUUAUCUUUUGAAACACGUUCUGAUUAACCAAGGGUAAGCAUGUUUUGGUUGCUAAAGAAAAAAGCAUAAUCUUUAACCGAGUAUAAGUACUUGCUGUGUAUUUAGUGUAAAAGUACAUGCAGAAAGAUGAAACACAAAGUAAUUGAUGUAUUUCUAUCUUUUAUAUUUUUUAGUCCAAUAAUUAGCAAAAUAUUACUAUGUACUUAAGAGAUACCUGUGUAGUGUCGAUUAUAUGUCAGUUUUUUGCCCAUUACUUCAUCCCUAAAUCUUCAGCAUGAACAAAUAUUAAUGUCGAUAAUAAAACAUUGGACUCUUUGAAAUGUAUGUUACCAUUAAUUUCUAUUUGACCUCUAAAUUGUAAAAUGCCUCCAAAAGUUUAUUUAUAGAACAAAAAUACAUGAGGAUGGAUUUGUACAAAUGUAUAAAAUGCCACUAUUUAUACACCAAGUUCAUAGCAGCAUUACUGGAAUAGCAAAAGAUGGAAACAGCUCAAGUGUCUAUCAUGAAUGGAUAAACAAAUGUGCUAUAAUACAUACAAUGGAAUAUUAUUUAGCUUUAAAAAGGAAUGAAAUUCUGAUAAAUACUACCUCAGGAUAAACCUUGAAAACACUAUGCUAAGUGAAAUAAGCCAGACACAAAAGGCCAAAUAUGAUGCCACUUUUAUGAGGUACCAGCAUAGGCAAGUUCACAGAAACAGAAAGGAGAAUAGUGGUUGCCAGGGACUGCAGGGAGGAGGAAAUGGGGGGUGGGGUUAUUGUUUAACGAGUACAUAGUUUCUGUUUGGGAUGAACAAAUUCUGGAAAUGGAUAGCGAUGAUGGUUGCUCAACAUUUUGAAUGUUAAUGCCACUAAAUUGUACCCAUAAAAAUGGUUAAAAUGGUAAAUUUUGUUAUGUAUAUUUUAUCAUAAUUUAAAAAAUAUAUCUAGAAUGGGCAAGAAGGAUUCUCCUCAUUCCUCUCUUGACUUGAGAAUGAUCAGUCAAUAGGCCCUGAAGUCUGAAUUUGUGAAAAUUUCCUUGGGUGACAAACUUGUUUGAUUACUCUAUUUAGUGUAUCCCAAAGUUAUUACCACAUAAUCUUUUAAACAAUAAAACAAAUACCCCUUAGAAAGUCUUCUGCAAACCCAUUUCUGAAAAUGGUACAUUAUAGGGUGGGUAUAGAUGCAUAGAUAUGGGAUUAUGUAUGAUAUAUAUAUAUAUACACACACACACAAAGGGAUAGAGAGAUUACCUCUCUUAACCCCCAUUUUAAUUACUAUGUCUAGGUUUUUUAAAUAAAAAUCUUUUCUUUUUAACAUGUUUCUUUUCUUUUCCGGAAUAUUGGAAUAUUCUGUUCUUGAUCCAGAUGAAAUCUGAUUGAGCAGUGUACUUACAAGUUGUACUGUGUAUGUGUUUCCUAUAUUGUUAUAUUUCAAUAAGAAGCUUAAAAUGUUUAAAAAUAAAUGGUUAAAAGGUUUUAUGUUAUGUAUAUUUUACCACAAUAAAUGCAAAAAAUAAAAAGUCUGUGUUCUAAACAA